rnacentral:piRNA from 1 species
UGAGAGGUUUUACAGGUGUCUUUGUUCCCU